AGAUUUGGGCUGCUCUCCAUGGCGAGCCGCGGCCUUCAGCGUCUCGCACUUCGAUUUCUAGGCGGCUUCCGAAUCGUGCCACAAUAAGCAACCAAAACGCAGACGGAAGAGCUUGGAGGCGAAGGCCAUGGACUCCUUCGCCUUCUGCACCAUGCCGCUGCUCGCCUUUUCCCACUCUCUCAAAUUUCCCCACAGGCUCUACCUCCGACGGCUGCUUGCCCCGCCAAAUCCGGGCCUCUUUACUGCCGGGAGAGCCAGGUGCUUCGGUAGCCUCCACCCCAACAGACCGCGAGAAAUUUUCCUUAUUUCCUUAGCAGGGAGUCUUUUGCGGACUUCUUCUUUGGGGUCGCCAGUUAAUCGUGGAUUGGCUUGCAUAUCGAGCUCCACUGGGUCGUCUGGCCCCAAUGGCGGCGGAAACGAUGGGACUGGCCGUUGGGAUGGUGACGGUGGUGGGGAUGGUGGAUUCCGCGGCAGCGGUGCGCAAUCCUUCUCUAUCGGAGAAGAGUCCGUUGAGGCUUCUUCCCGCGUGCCAGACGUGAUAAUUCUUGAUGUUGGGGGAAUGACUUGCGGAGGAUGUGCUGCCAGCGUGAAGCGCAUUUUGGAGAGUCAACCUCAAGUGUCAUCAGCAAGUGUUAAUCUUGCAACUGAGACUGCAAUUGUGUGGGCAAUUCCUGAAACCAAGGUCUUGCCAAACUGGAAACAACAAUUGGGAGUUAGACUUGCAGGCAAUUUGACAACUUGUGGAUUCAAAUCCAGUUUUCGAGAUUCUGAUAGAGUGAAUGUUUACAAAGUAUUUGAGAGGAAGAUGGAUGAAAAGCUUCAGAAAUUAAAACAAAGCGGUAGAGAGCUUGCUGUAUCAUGGGCGUUAUGUGCUGUAUGUCUCCUAGGGCAUGUCUCUCACAUCUUUAAAGCUGGUCCUUCUUGGCUUCAGACUUGCCAUUCUACUAGUUUUCAUAUGUCACUUUCGUUGUUCACAUUUUUUGGUCCUGGUCGCAAACUUGUUCUUGAUGGCUUCAGAAGUUUGUUCAUGGGUUCGCCUAACAUGAACACAUUAGUUGGCUUAGGUGCUUUAUCAUCCUUUGCAGUCAGUUCAAUUGCUGCCUUAAUUCCAAAACUGGGAUGGAAAACAUUCUUUGAGGAGCCAAUUAUGCUGAUAGCUUUUGUUCUACUGGGGAAGAAUCUUGAACAGAGAGCCAAGAUAAAAGCAACUAGUGACAUGACAGGGCUCCUGAAUAUCCUUCCAGCAAAAGCACGCCUCAUGAUCCACACUGAUGCAAGAGAGGUUCCAUCAACUGUGGAGGUUCCAUGUAGUAACCUCCACAUUGGUGACCAGGUUGUCGUACUCCCAGGAGAUCGUGUACCAGCUGAUGGAAUCGUUAAAGCUGGAAGAAGUACAGUUGAUGAAUCAAGUUUCACUGGAGAGCCUCUACCUGUGACAAAACUGCCUGGGGCUGAAGUCACAGCUGGAAGCAUUAACUUGAAUGGCACACUAACCAUAGAAGUAAGAAGACCAGGAGGGGAAACUGCUAUGGGAGAUAUUGUUCGGUUGGUGGAGAAUGCACAGACAAGGGAAGCUCCUGUGCAACGUUUAGCUGAUAAGGUUGCGGGACAUUUUACAUAUGGAGUUAUGGCAUUAUCAGCUGCCACUUUUGCUUUCUGGAGUUUGUUUGGUUCACAACUUGUACCGGCUGCUCUCAUACAAGGAAGUGUAGUGUCGUUGGCCUUGCAGCUUUCAUGUAGUGUUCUGGUUGUUGCAUGUCCAUGUGCACUUGGGCUGGCGACUCCAACUGCUGUUCUGGUAGGAACCUCAUUAGGGGCGACCCGAGGAUUGCUUUUACGGGGUGGUGACGUCUUGGAGAAGUUUGCGGCUGUGGAUACAAUUGUGUUUGAUAAAACAGGAACUUUGACAAUUGGAAAGCCAGUUGUGACUAGGGUUAUGCCUUCUUUAUUUGAUGAACAUGAGCAUUCAAAAGAAAACAGUGGCUUCAAAUGGACUGAAGCUGAUAUUUUGAGGUUAGCUGCUGGGGUGGAAUCAAAUACUAAUCAUCCCAUUGGAAAGGCUAUUGUUGAAGCGGCUCAUUCCAUUGGUUGUGAAAAUGUCAAGGCUAAAGAUGGGACAUUCACUGAGGAACCUGGCUCUGGUGCAGUAGCUAUAAUUGAAAAAAUGAAGGUUUCUGUUGGGACUUUAAGCUGGGUCAGAAGGCAUGGUGUCCAUGGGAACCAAUUUCCAGAUGCAGAGUCUCAGAACCAGUCUGUUGUUUAUGUAGGAGUUGAUAGUGCAUUAGCAGGUGUUAUUUAUUUUGAGGAUAAAGUAAGGGAAGACGCACGACUGGUUGUUGAGACUUUGGCUAAGCAAGGAAUAAACAUAUAUAUGCUAUCUGGAGACAAGAAGAAUGCUGCUGAAUACGUAGCAUCUAUGAUUGGUAUUGACAAAAGAAAGGUGCUUUAUGAAGUUAAACCAGAGGAGAAAAAGAGAUUCAUCUCUGAACUUCAAAAAGAGAAACAAAUUGUUGCUAUGGUUGGUGAUGGUAUUAAUGAUGCCGCUGCCUUGGCUUCAGCAGAUGUUGGUAUUGCAAUGGGUGAAGGUGUUGGUGCAGCUAGUGAUGUAUCUUCAGUUGUGCUUUUGGGCAAUAAAUUGUCACAGGUAUUCAUAUGUCAUAUUGACUGGAGCAGAGUAAAUCAAUUUCUUGUCCAAGUUGGAGGGAAAUUGCAACUUUCAACUCAGACAUGGGAUAAUGAACCCAUGGUUCACCACAAACUAAUCUUCCUUUGAUGAUGUACACAUUAAAAAACUUGUUGGCAUAGCAAGGCUAUGUCACUAAAUAGUUGCAAAUCAAGUUUUCAGUUUGAGCCUUUUAUGAUGCAAACACAAAAGCUGGUUGUCUGUCAAGCGGUCAUGCACUGAAGCCAUAUUUUGCUGCCAUCAGACUGAACCUCACUCUUCUAAGGGAUGUUUCUUGCUUAUGUUUUUGUUUUACAAUUAUAAUCUUAUACUUUGUAGUUUUGAUAGUCACAUCACGACUCAUUUGGUAACUUGGAACUUGUAUGGAUGAUUUUAUUGAUAAUGAUCAUUGGAGCUUAAUAUAUUCUUAUCUUCAACCAUUGUGCAGUAGAACUUAGAAGAAUCUUUAUCUUCAACUAAUCGAGCUGGAAAGUUUAUCAGCUCAAUUCCUGCAUUCAGUAAAAGUUUGAGCCUUUGCUGACAAUCCUGAUUGAUGCUUUGGAUUUGAGCAAGUCGACUAUGAAAACGGUAAAGCAAAACCUCUGGUGGGCAUUUGCCUACAAUAUU